rnacentral:lncRNA from 1 species
AUUUCGGUACUCACGUCAGUACCAAAUUUUGUGAAUCCGCAACCCGCUCCGAUACCGGCUACUGUUGAUCCGGUACUGAUUAUUGAGAUUCCGCAACGGAAGUGUCAAAUCGAGUUUUUAUUAUAAACUCGUCUUCUCAGCAAAAGCUGAUACAAUCAUAAAAUAGAGAAAAAACCAAAUCCGAAAAUAUGCGGGUAAAAUAAGAUUGAUUAAAUAAGAGAAGAUUAUACCUGAUUCCUCUUCUGCAUAGAGUAGUUACAAACCGAGCCCUUUUUCUGAAUCUCUCAUACCUUUCUCUCGUCUUCUAUAAACCCACAAAGAAAACAACUCUCUACGUGCACCCGUGCACUCGG